UAAUCUAGCCCUUGUAGAGACUAGAGAAAUGUAAAGGUGACCUCAGGUCCCCUCCCUGUCUCCACUCAGGACAAUGGGUCAGCCAUACAUCAGUCAAGACAGUUCUCCCAGGCAAAGCUUGACAAUAUGAUGAAGAGGCUGUCAUGCAACAAAGUUCUUUCCUGUACCCUGAAAGCAACAAAGACCUCCUGAAAAGCCAGUCCAGGCCAAACCACUUCUAGCUGGCUUUCUGUUAUUAUCUGCCAAUAUCAGCUCAUGUUCAACUGUAGAGAGAUAGCUCCACCUGGCAACUGGACACACCCUUAGGAAGCCAGAGGGACUUGAAGAUUAACUCAGUCUCCCCCAAAUGCAGGUUGUUCCUGGGUCCUCUGCACACAAGCCAUGGCAUUGUCAGGAGUCAACACGGAAGAGGCCCUCGCCCACAAGCUUUGUUAAAUUGGGUGCACUGUUACUGCUCGCCCUUUAUGUGUUAUUUGGGUUUUGACUCUGUACCAAAUGCCCGAGAGAAACCAUUUGGACAAGACAACAGGAUGGAAGCGCAAAGCCAAAGCUCUGAAAUAAAACAAAGAGGCACUGGAGCUGUGCCCAGGACCACGC
rnacentral:lncRNA from 1 species